UCACCCUCCCCGUGAGGUAGGUCCUAC
rnacentral:piRNA from 1 species